rnacentral:rRNA from 1 species
AGUGAACGCUGGCGGUAGGCCUAACACAUGCAAGUCGAACGGCAGCACAGAGGAGCUUGCUCCUUGGGUGGCGAGUGGCGGACGGGUGAGGAAUACAUCGGAAUCUACUCUGUCGUGGGGGAUAACGUAGGGAAGCUUACGCUAAUACCGCAUACGACCUACGGGUGAAAGCAGGGGACCUUCGGGCCUUGCGCGAUUGAAUGAGCCGAUGUCGGAUUAGCUAGUUGGCGGGGUAAAGGCCCACCAAGGCGACGAUCCGUAGCUGGUCUGAGAGGAUGAUCAGCCACACUGGAACGGAGACACGGUCCAGACUCCUACGGGAGGCAGCAGUGGGGAAUAUUGGACAAUGGGCGCAAGCCUGAUCCAGCCAUACCGCGUGGGUGAAGAAGGCCUUCGGGUUGUAAAGCCCUUUUGUUGGGAAAGAAAUCCAGCUGGCUAAUACCCGGCUGGGAUGACGGUACCCAAAGAAUAAGCACCGGCUAACUUCGUGCCAGCCGCCGCAGUAA